GACGAACGCUGGCGGCGUGCUUAACACAUGCAAGUCGAACGAUGAAAGAGGAGCUUGCUCCUCUGGUUUAGUGGCGAACGGGUGAGUAACACGUGAGCAAUCUGCCCCUGACUUCGGAAUAACUACGGGAAACUGUAGCUAAUACCGGAUAUGCGCCGAACAGGCAUCUGUAUCGGUGGGAAAGAAUUUCGGUCGGGGAUGAGCUCGCGGCCUAUCAGCUUGUUGGUGAGGUAGCGGCUCACCAAGGCGACGACGGGUAGCCGGCCUGAGAGGGUGACCGGCCACAUUGGGACUGAGACACGGCCCAGACUCCUACGGGAGGCAGCAGUGGGGAAUAUUGCACAAUGGGCGGAAGCCUGAUGCAGCAACGCCGCGUGAGGGAUGACGGCCUUCGGGUUGUAAACCUCUUUUAGCAGUGAAGAAGCGAAAGUGACGGUACCUGCAGAAAAAGCGCCGGCUAACUACGUG
rnacentral:rRNA from 1 species